rnacentral:misc_RNA from 1 species
UAUACCAACAUAAGCUAACAAAAACACAUACUUAGCAUGGUCAAGAAUUGUAGCCAUCUAAAAUAUAAUAUCCCUUCUUACUCUCUCGAAUACCAAGAGUUGGUCAAUAUUCAGGAUUGUCUAAAAGAUACAUUAAUCAAAUUACAAUACUAUAACAAUAUCAUUAAAUUCUGAAAACCAGGAAACAAUAACAUAGAACUUGAAAGGUAAUAGUAAAAGAAAGAAAAAUGAUACAUAAGAAUCAGAAACAAGAAUAGAGGACUCAACUGGAACAUAAUAACAUCAGAAAGUCAACUCAAACCAUUGAGGGUAAGGAGGAGUAUGAAAAUGAAGAAAAUAAA